GGAGAAUCUUUCUCUCCCUACACGUUACUCCCACCCCUUGGUGCAAACGCCACUAACCCUAAGAGCCCUCGGGUUUGCCUUUGCCUUGAGCGAGAGUCCGCAGCAGGCAGGUUAUUAGAUGGCUCCAGGUGGUCAGCAUAAUUCAACCUGCAUAACAUAAAAUUAUCUACGGGACAUGUAGAAUAUUAAAUAAAAUGCAGCAGUCACACUCGAACCUCACCCUGAAACCUUCCGCUUUGGAAUACUAGCUGAAUACUGUGAGCAUUGGAUUCAAAAAGAGAUCAUGAAGUUGGAAGGAAGGAUUUGAACUGACACAGAAGGUUGCUCUGAUAUUCAUCCAAAACCAUGGUGAGGAUUCUUCCUGCCAGAGGUAAGGCACAUUGGCACACUAAU